rnacentral:rRNA from 1 species
UACGGAGGGCGCGAGCGUUACCCGGAUUUACUGGGCGUAAAGGGCGUGUAGGCGGCUUGGGCCGUCACAUGUGUAAGGCCACGGCUCAACCGUGGAGGAGCGUGGGAUACGCGCAGGCUAGACGGUGGGAGAGGGUGGUGGAAUUCCCGGAGUAGCGGUGAAAUGCGCAGAUACCGGGAGGACCGCCGAUCGCGAAGGGAGCCACCUGGUCCACAUGUGACGCUGAGGCGCGAAAGCGUGGGGAGCAAACAGG